rnacentral:snoRNA from 1 species
CGCACAGAUCAACCCAAAUUGCCAUUGAAGCUCCUUAUUGGCUAAGCAAACCUGAUAAUGGAAAUCAGCAGCAGAUACGGCAGGAUUUCAUGAAAACCAGCAGAAGGCUGGCCCUGAAGGCCUGGAGUUUGACCCCCCUGCCUUAAGG